GUUCUCAUGGGUUAUCAUGGAUGAGCAACAUGUGGAUAGGUGCCUGAAGGCCUAAAGAAUGUACGAGUUAAGAGUGUAUGCGGUAUAGGCUAGAAACACUGGUUGAAUACUCAUCGACCAAGGGGUGGCACACUUUAUUCGACCAAUCUACCCAUGUUGCAAUCCUGUUAAUAAUUUUGUCUACAAGAUAGAGAGACGUGAGAUGUUGC
rnacentral:misc_RNA from 1 species